CAACCACUGAGCCACAUCCCCAGCCUUAUUUUCUACUUUAUUUUAGAGACAGGGUCUCACUGAGUUGCUUAGCACCAUUGCUGAGGCUGGCUUUGAACUCAUGAUCCUCCUGUCUCAGCCUCCUGAGCUGCUGGGAUUAUCGGCAUUCGCCACCGUGCCUGGCUCAAAACAAUAUUUUUCCUUUCACCAUCCCACUUCCACCAGAUGUUUUACAGGAUAAACAUUUUUCUUUUUACCUUUAAGAUUGGACUGAAAAGUAAAGAGCCUUACAGAAAACUUCAACCAACACGUGGAGUCCAUGGUCAAGUAUCCCCGCAGCUCUGAGUUUAGAAGGCAAGACCCAGGCCAGGGGCGCCUGGGCUGAUAGGGCGUCUGCCUGUGUGUGUGUGUGUGUGUGGGGGGGGCCUCUUCCUUCCACCUUUUCACUCCGAAAAUUGUCCUCACAAGGCAGAGGUCAUCUUCCCCAAAUUCAGAUGCUGUGAUACUAAAUAAAUGGCCAAGAAAAAGGAGCAGGCAACUUUCGGACAAGAGAACUAACUGCACGCUGAAGAGACCCUUGUCACUUAGCACCACAGCCAGCUGCAAUGGCUAUCAGUUCUGGCAGGACUUUGUCAUGGCACAAAGGUCCCAGAGACCCGAAGCCAUCCUCAGUGAUAAGGGCAGAUCUGGCCGCAUGUCGUGACCCCCCAAGGUAAGAAGCAAGGUGACGACAGCACAGAAUCAGAGGCACCAGGACUGAGGUCAGACAGGCCAUUCCAAAGAGGGAGCUCGCACUCAGGCACAGGAGCCGUUGGCCUGCCAUGGAUUCCUGUCUAUCCAGCCCCACCCCUGAAAGUGAGAACCUGAACUGCUCACAGGUGAACAUUCCCCUCGACUCCGCCCCUUCCUCCUGCCCGCCAGCAGCCCUGGCUGGGGACAAGAGAAACAAGGCUGCUGAGAUUCAUCCAGAGGACACCAUUACUGGCUGACAGAAGUUUAAGAACCCAGAGGCAAAAAAAAAAAAAAAUGUUUAUUCCUCUUGCCAUGUCAAGUAUAAAAUACCCAAACAGUGCCUUUGUUGUCAGGUGCCACCAGGAAAACAUUAACACAGCAGUCACACAUUUUUGAUAAGAGUAAACUGUUGUCAGAUUUAUCUGAUUUCUCUCUCUUCCUCUUUAAUAAACAUUAGAGAACUGACUUCUUACA
rnacentral:lncRNA from 1 species